rnacentral:rRNA from 1 species
AUGAACGCUGGCGGCGUGCCUAAUACAUGCCGGUCGAGCGAACGGACGAGAAGCUUGCUUUUCUGAUGUUAGCGGCGGACGGGUGAGUAACACGUGGAUAACCUACCUAUAAGACUGGGAUAACUUCGGGAAACCGGAGCUAAUACCGGAUAAUAUUUUGAACCGCAUGGUUCAAAAGUGAAAGACGGUCUUGCUGUCACUUAUAGAUGGAUCCGCGCUGCAUUAGCUAGUUGGUAAGGUAACGGCUUACCAAGGCAACGAUGCAUAGCCGACCUGAGAGGGUGAUCGGCCACACUGGAACUGAGACACGGUCCAGACUCCUACGGGAGGCAGCAGUAGGGAAUCUUCCGCAAUGGGCGAAAGCCUGACGGAGCAACGCCGCGUGAGUGAUGAAGGUCUUCGGAUCGUAAAACUCUGUUAUUAGGGAAGAACAUAUGUGUAAGUAACUGUGCACAUCUUGACGGUACCUAAUCAGAAAGCCACGGCUAACUACGUG